UACGAAGGGGGCUAGCGUUGUUCGGAAUUACUGGGCGUAAAGCGCUCGCAGGCGGAUUGAUAAGUCGGGGGUGAAAUCCCGGGGCUCAACCUCGGAAUUGCCUUCGAUACUGUCUAUCUAGAGUCCGGGAGAGGUGAGUGGAAUUCCUAGUGUAGAGGUGAAAUUCGUAGAUAUUAGGAAGAACACCAGUGGCGAAGGCGGCUCACUGGCCCGGUACUGACGCUCAUGAGCGAAAGCGUGGGGAGCAAACAGG
rnacentral:rRNA from 1 species